AACGCUGGCGGCAGGCCUAACACAUGCAAGUCGAGCGAGGUAGCAAUACCUAGCGGCGGACGGGUGAGUAACGCGUGGGAACGUGCCCCUUGGUACGGAAUAGCCCCGGGAAACUGGAAGUAAUACCGUAUGAGCUCUACGGAGGAAAGAUUUAUCGCCAAGGGAUCGGCCCGCGUUGGAUUAGGUAGUUGGUGGGGUAAUGGCCUACCAAGCCGACGAUCCAUAGCUGGUUUGAGAGGAUGAUCAGCCACACUGGGACUGAGACACGGCCCAGACUCC
rnacentral:rRNA from 1 species